rnacentral:rRNA from 1 species
CAACGUGGGUAACCUGCCCUGAUGAUUGGGACAACCCGAGGAAACUCGGGCUAAUACCGAAUGUGCCCUCCGGCCAUAAGGCCACUGGGGAAAGGAAGCUUCGGCCUCCGCAUCGGGAUGGGCCCGCGGCCCAUUAGCUUGUUGGUGAGGUAACGGCUCACCAAGGCAAUGAUGGGUAGCUGGUCUGAGAGGACGAUCAGCCACACUGGGACUGAGACACGGCCCAG